GCAAUUUUGAAAUCCUCUUCUACUCUUGUCCUCAAGAGAUGCCAGCUGCUAUGGACUGAGGCACAGCAUGGCCCAACAAAGAACUGUGCUGGUUAUAGUGCAGCAAGGCAGGUAGUGGAAAAGACCCAAAUCCACAAAGCAGAAUAAUAACUAGAAAAAUAUUUCUGAGGAUCCCAAAAGCUUUGGGGAGAGUUGAAGCAGAGAACUCCAAAACUAUGCAUGAUGGUAUGAACAGCCCAUGGCAAAUAAUCCUUUCAGUAAGUCAGCAUUUCCAGUUUUCUCUCAUUAUAUGGUAUUUGAUAUGACUUGUCUCUGAAACAGAAAACCCCAGAUAUGAACAAGGAUUAGCUGAAAUACACUGCCAUAAGCCUAGCCUACUUUAGGUUGAGCUCUGGAAAGCUGUA
rnacentral:lncRNA from 1 species